AGCGAACGCUGGCGGCAGGCCUAAUACAUGCAAGUCGAACGGCUCUUCGGAGCAGUGGCGGACGGGUGAGUAACGCGUGGGAAUGUGCCCUUAGGUACGGAACAACACAGGGAAACUUGCGCUAAUACCGUAUGUGCCCUUCGGGGGAAAGAUUUAUCGCCUUUGGAGCAGCCCGCGUUGGAUUAGGUAGUUGGUGAGGUAAAGGCUCACCAAGCCGACGAUCCAUAGCUGGUCUGAGAGGAUGACCAGCCACACUGGGACUGAGACACGGCCCAGACUCCUACGGGAGGCAGCAGUAGGGAAUCUUGCGCAAUGGGCGAAAGCCUGACGCAGCCAUGCCGCGUGUAUGAUGAAGGUCUUAGGAUUGUGAAAUACUUUCACCGGGGACGAUAAUGACGGUACCCGGAGAAGAAGCCCCGGCUAACUUCGUGCCAGCCGCCGCCGUAAGAC
rnacentral:rRNA from 1 species